rnacentral:rRNA from 1 species
GACGUAGGGCGCGAGCGUUGUCCGGAUUCACUGGGCGUAAAGGGCGCGUAGGCGGCCCGUUAAGUGUGGAGUGAAAGCUCCGGGCUCAACCCGGAAACCGCUUCGCAUACUGGCGGGCUGGAGGGACGGAGAGGCGAGUGGAAUUCCCGGUGUAGCGGUGAAAUGCGUUGAUAUCGGGAGGAACACCCAUGGCGAAGGCAGCUCGCUGGCCGUUUCCUGACGCUGAGGCGCGAAAGCGUGGGUAGCAAACAGG